rfam:Gossypium raimondii Chr09_contig_1325, whole genome shotgun sequence.
CACGUCAGCGCGACCUGCUGACGUGGAAAGAAAUUGCGGCCUUGAGGGAUCGAUUUCCUUCCACGUCAGCAGGUCGCGCUGACGGGG